rnacentral:rRNA from 1 species
UACAGAGGGGGCGUGCGUUGUCCGGAAUUACUGGGCGUAAAGGGCGCGUAGGUGGCGCUGCAAGUCCAUGGUGAAAGCUCGAUGCUCAACAUCGAGUCGGCCACGGAGACUGCGGGGCUCGAGCACUGUAGGGGCAGAUGGAAUUCCGGGUGUAGCGGUGGAAUGCGUAGAGAUCCGGAGGAACACCCGUGGCGAAGGCGGCUCUCUGGGACGGUACUGACACUGAGACGCGAAAGCGUGGGGAGCGAACAGG